AGAGGGUGCAAGCGUUAAUCGGAAUUACUGGGCGUAAAGCGUGCGUAGACGGUCAUGUAAGUCGGGUGUGAAAGCCCCGGGCUCAACCUGGGAAUUGCAUUCGAGACUGCAUGGCUAGGAUGCGGAAGAGGGAAGCGGAAUUUCCGGUGUAGCGGUGAAAUGCGUAGAUAUCGGAAGGAACACCAGUGGCGAAAGCGGCUUCCUGGUCCAGCAUCGACGUUCAGGCACGAAAGCGUGGGGAGCAAACAGGAUUAGAUACCCUGGUAGUCCACGCCAUAAACGAUGAGAACUAGACGUUGAGAGGGUAAGCCUCCCAGUGUCGCAGCUAACGCGCUAAGUUCUCCGCCUGGGGAGUACGGCCGCAAGGUUG
rnacentral:rRNA from 1 species